AUCCUAGAAUGAGCAGGAUGAUCUCCAACUUCUUUUCCAUUCAAAUGAAUCUAUAGAAGAUGGAGGUAAAGAAGCUCUUCAAUAACAUCAAUGGCUCAGAGUUUAACGAAUCUGUGAAUGUCAAGCAACUUGAGAGCAUAUUGUGAUCCAUUUCAACUUCCACUAUCAGAUACCCUAUCCGCAGCAAAGUGCGGGCAUGCUUUCUAGUCACUAUUACACAAUGGAGAAUGUUGAUGUUGUCCGGGCAGAGUGGGCAAAGUAUGUUCUUAAGUUCAAAGAUAACUAGUGUGUAGGUUAACUAGUAGUUGGAGAUAUGUAGCAUCAACUUUUGGACAUGCAUAGUUGAUAUAUAUAUAGGCCAGAUUUUGAUUGCAGUACUGCUAGCUAUUUUGCUAUGUUGUUUAGUUUGUUGCCCAGAUUGUGUAGUGCUUGUGUAGUGCUUCUGGUUUAUUAGCAAGCAGUACUACAUGCAUAUAUUUUGUUGGCUGCCCAGAUUAGUAGAUAUGGGCCAUUUAGAACUGAUGCUGAUGAUUAGGUUUGUGUACAUGAGACAAUGGUGGAUUAAUGGAAAUUGC